rnacentral:rRNA from 1 species
CAGUCGCCGCGGGAAUACGAAGGGUGCAAGCGUUACUCGGAAUUACUGGGCGUAAAGCGUGCGUAGGUGGUGGUUUAAGUCCGUUGUGAAAGCCCUGGGCUCAACCUGGGAAUUGCAGUGGAUACUGGGUCACUAGAGUGUGGUAGAGGAUUGUGGAAUUUCCGGUGUAGCAGUGAAAUGCGUAGAGAUCGGAAGGAACAUCUGUGGCGAAGGCGACUAUCUGGGCCAACACUGACACUGAGGCACGAAAGCGUGGGGAGCAAACAGGAUUAGAUACCCGAGUAGUCCCUGUCUCUUAUAC